rnacentral:pre_miRNA from 14 species
UUUUUUGGCAGAGAUUACGAUUAGCGAUAUCCAGCCGUUGUAUUCAAUAGCGCAUUUGAGUACACGUGCACGGAUACGCUCAUCGUUUUUGUAUUGCCACUUC